UGACCAAUACUCCUUUUGCCAUUCGCCACCAGUGUUGUGCCUCACCUUCUAACAUAAAAACUGCCAAGGCCACCUUCCUAUCAUCAGGACAUUUCAUAACCUCGAAUAUUUUUUCCAAUUGCAUAAUCCAUCCCUCGGCUUCCAGUGGGUUUACAGCACCCUUAAAAGAAGGUGGGUUUAAUUUUUUAAAUUGUUCGAUAUUGCUCCCACCAUUUCCUGUAACUGACUGCCUGGGUGGAUUGUUGUUUUCCAUCUGAUGUUGCAUUAGAGCAACCAUAUUUUCCAAGGCUUUGUGAAUUCCUU
rnacentral:lncRNA from 1 species